rnacentral:misc_RNA from 1 species
ACAGAACCCAGAAAUUCAUAGACGACCUUGAGGCCAAAAGGACCAUUCUAUCUUCCUGCACCCAACUAUUCACAACCCUCACUACUAAUUUCACUUCCCUCCAAAACUCCCUAUCCCAGAAAUCCCAAUCCCUCGAUUCCAAAUUUCAAUCCUUAGAAUCCAAAUCCCAGCAAACUCUCCAAUCCCUUUCUCAGAGGUUAACCUCCAUUCCUGAACGGGAGUCCGCCGCUGCAGCCAAAGUCGAGGAGCAAAAGGGGAAUGCCUUGGCGGAGUUUGAAAAGCCCAAAAGAUUCGACAAGUUGUCGGAUUGGUUGAAGUCUAUUUCUCGAAAGAUGGAUUCUUCCGGAUUGUUGAAGUUUGUAAUUUCCAAACGGAAGGAAUCAGUGUCUUUGCGGGCGGAGAUUUCCUCUGCGAUAAUGGAGGCGGUGGAUCCUGCGAGGUUAAUUUUGGAUGCCGUCGAUGAGUUUGUGAGUAAUAAAAUUGAGAAAGUUGGGGUUACUGACAAGCGGUGGGCCUGCGGAAUGCUGGUGCAGGCGCUUUUUCCGGAGGGUAGUUACUUUGGCGGGAAACAGAAAGGACCUGAAUUUGCACGGACUGUGGUUGAGAGGGCAGGAAGAAUUUUGGAAAUAUGGAAGGAGGAGCAAGUUGAUGAGAAGGAAGGAGGUGGCAGUGGUGGAGGUGGAGUUGCGGGACCUGCGGAGG